CAGGACGAACGCUGGCGGCGUGCCUAAUACAUGCAAGUCGAACGGUCUUUCUAUGGAAGCUUGCUUCCACUGAAAAGAUAGUGGCGAACGGGUGAGUAACACGUGGGUAACCUGCCCAUAAGAGGGGGGAUAACAUCCGGAAACGGGUGCUAAUACCGCAUAGUUUUCUUGAUCGCAUGAUCGGGAAAGGAAAGACGGCCUUUGUGCUGUCGCUUAUGGAUGGACCCGCGGCGUAUUAGUUAGUUGGUGAGGUAACGGCUCACCAAGACGAUGAUACGUAGCCGACCUGAGAGGGUGAUCGGCCACAUUGGGACUGAGACACGGCCCAAACUCCUACGGGAGGCAGCAGUAGGGAAUCUUCCGCAAUGGACGAAAGUCUGACGGAGCAACGCCGCGUGAGUGAAGAAAGGUUUUCGGAUCGUAAAACUCUGUUGUCAGAGAAGAACAAGUUGGAGAGUAACUGCUCCAGCCUUGACGGUAUCUGACUAGAAAGCCACGGCUAACUACGUGCCAGCAGCCGC
rnacentral:rRNA from 1 species